UCUUAAUUUCACAUACUCUCUCGCCUCUCAGACCGGUGAGAGAGUGUGUGAAAUGAAGAGA
rnacentral:pre_miRNA from 1 species